rnacentral:rRNA from 1 species
GACGUAGGGGGCGAGCGUUAUUCGGAAUCAUUGGGCGUAAAGAGUUCGUAGGCGGUUUGAUAAGUCGGUGAAGAAAGACCUGGGCUCAACUCAGGGAACGGCACCGGAUACUAUUGAGCUUGAGGCAAUCAGAGGGUAAUGGAAUUCCUGGUGUAGCGGUGAAAUGCGUAGAUAUCGGGAGGAACACCUGUGGCGAAAGCGGCUCACUGGACCAUAACUGACGCUGAUGCACGAAAGCUAGGGGAGCAAACAGG